rnacentral:tRNA from 1 species
GGUAAAAUGGCUGAGUUUUAGGCGGUAAAUUGUAAAUUUAUUGACGAUUAAAAUCUUUUACUU